rnacentral:rRNA from 1 species
AUUGAACGCUGGCGGCAGGCCUAACACAUGCAAGUCGAGCGGAUGAAGGUAGCUUGCUCCUGGAUUCAGCGGCGGACGGGUGAGUAAUGCCUAGGAAUCUGCCUGGUAGUGGGGGAUAACGUCCGGAAACGGGCGCUAAUACCGCAUACGUUCUGAGGGAGAAAGUGGGGGAUCUUCGGACCUCACGCUAUCAGAUUAGCCUAGGUCGGAUUAGCUAGUUGGUGGGGUAAAGGCCUACCAAGGCGACGAUCCGUAACUGGUCUGAGAGGAUGAUCAGUCACACUGGAACUGAGAAACGGUCCAGACUCCUACGGGAGGCAGAAGUGGGGAAUAUUGGACAAUGAGCGAAAGCCUGAUCCAGCAAUGCCGCGUGUGUGAAGAAGGUCUUCGGAUUGUAAAGCACUUUAAGUUGGGAGGAAGGGCAGUAAGUUAAUACCUUGCUGUUUUGACGUUACCAACAGAAUAAGCACCGGCUAACUUCGUG